GGGGGCAUGGCUCAGUGGUAGAGCCUCUGUUUGCCAUGCGGAAGUCCCAGGUUCAAUCCCUGGUAUCUCCA